UUUUUGGCAAGAAAACAGGACUGGUGAAAUAACUUGGUUAAUACAUCAGCAAAAUGACGACGGAAGUCAAAAACAGGGGCUGUCGGCUAGGUUUGUCGGAUUAUCUUGGGGAAGGCGGCAAGGCUGGGACAGCCAGCAGGAGUCAACGACUAGGCUAGGAGCCCUGUCGGCAAAGACCAACGAGGCUGGACAUCCUGCGACAGUGGUCGAUGGGGCUAGGGUUGCCUUCGGCAGGCUUCAGUAGCAAACGGGGCCAAAGCUAGAGAAAGGUGUUACACCUGUCAAAACUGGAUGGGUAACUUUGUGGUGGUUGUGUGGUGGGGUAGGGAUGGCAGUCGGGUGGCUAUAUAGAUUUAGGUUUGUGGCUCUACCAUGAAGAUUUUAGAGAAGAGAAAGAGAUUAGGGAAUGAUUGUGAUAUCAUCCCGUUUCUAUUUUUUUUAUAUUAAUGAAGAUUAAUAAUUACAAGGAAGCCCUAAGGCAUAUAAUAAUUACAAUCGAAUAAUAACCCAACUAAUAACAUACCAUUCUAACAAAUAUGUCAAAGAUGUGAACAUUUUUUUAUUUUAUUUUUUUAAAGAACGAAACAGCCAUCCAUAUAUUAUACUCUUACGUAGUAGUAGUUACAUUUUUGACCAGAUUAUGUACUUGCUGAAUAACACUUUUGUCAACUUUACGAAGAUAUAAAGAUGUGAACAUUCAUCAUGUAAUAUAGUUCACAAACAUUCCUAACAAAUUAGUGGAACAAGAAGUGGAGUUAAAAAAAUUCUUUCAGAGUUGAUAAUUAGGUCAACUAAAAUUAUGAGUAAAAGAAUGGAUAUUUUGUUUAAUGAGUAUAAAAUCAGUAAUUUCAAUAAUUUGACUACAUUGGAAAAAAAAAAAAAAGCAUUGAAGUAGAUGUAGUCAAUAUCAUUUCCAAAAUAAAACAUAAAUUUGAUCUGUUAAAUUUGAUCUGUUUAAACGGAUCAAAUUUAUGUUUUAUUUUGAAAAAUUGAGGGUGAUGCCGGAGAAAAAUCGAUGGCUAGAGGAAAAUCGAGGGUUGGUUUCAGGGUUAGGGUUUCAAAACCACCACCACCAUUACAUUCUGGAUAGGUACCAUGUCAGGUCCACAUAGCGAAAUCAAUGGAGCUAAAGGUGCAUACAAUGAUCAAGCGCAACAAAUGGACAGAGAUAGUUGAACCCCCACUGAAAAUAUCACUCCUUUUUUGUGAACAGUAUUGUACUUGAUGGAUGAUUUAAAAAUUGGUUUUGUGGGGACUAAAUUUCAAUGGUUUUCAUGUGUGGACGAAUGUAAAUUUGCAUGGCUUCUUUAUGGUUGAUGUAAUAUUUGGAUUAUGUAAAUUUGAUUUUGGUAAUCCACCUAUGUGUAGGUUGUAAAUUUUUUGAAUGUCAACAAAUGCAUAUGGUAUUUGGGUACUGAGGAUA